ACUCGUCUAGCUCAUCGGUAGAGCGCCGGUCUCCAAAACCGGGUCUGACGGGGUUCAAUUCCCCGGUCCUGCG